rnacentral:rRNA from 1 species
AUUGAACGCUGGCGGCAUGCUUUACACAUGCAAGUCGAACGGAUCUAGGGGCUUGCUCCUAGGUUAGUGGCGAACGGGUGAGUAAUGCAUCGGAACGUACCGUGUAGUGGGGGAUAACCUGGCGAAAGUCAGAUUAAUACCGCAUACGAUCUACGGAUGAAAGCGGGGGACCUUCGGGCCUCGCGCUAUACGAGCGGACGAUGUCGGAUUAGCUAGUUGGUGAGGUAAAGGCUCACCAAGGCGACGAUCCGUAGCGGGUCUGAGAGGAUGAUCCGCCACACUGGGACUGAGACACGGCCCAGACUCCUACGGGAGGCAGCAGUGGGGAAUUUUGGACAAUGGACGCAAGUCUGAUCCAGCCAUGCCGCGUGAGUGAAGAAGGCCUUCGGGUUGUAAAGCUCUUUUGUCAGGGAGCAAAUCCUGCCUGCUAAUACUAGGUGGGGAUGAGAGUACCUGAAGAAUAAGCACCGGCUAACUACGUGCCAGCAGCCGCCGUAACAC